AAAGAAGCCCAGGCAGCAAUGGAAGGGCUGAAUGGCCAGGAUCUUAUGGGGCAACCAAUCAGCGUUGACUGGUGCUUUGUAAGAGGACCCCCUAAGAGCAAGAGGAGGGGUGGAAGAAGACGCAGCAGGAGCCCAGACAGACGGCGACGUUGAUUUUCCCCGUUUUUGACUCCAGUGUCUGUUUCCCAGCCAGGGUGGCAUUGUUUUUCGAGUCAGAUUGGAGUGUGCGUGUAUCUCAUUACAUAAGGAUUUUAAUGUUUUUGAAGGGGGAAUUUUUUUUUUUUUAUUGUCAUAAUUGUUAGCUAUUCAGCAAUUGUCUGUAGGUCUUUUGUUGAAGAAUGACAGACGUUGCAGAAGCAUACAUGUGUUGAAGCUGUCGGUAUUUCCACCAUGGUUUGAUUUUUUUACUUUUUUGUACAAAGUGGCAGUACACUUAAAAAUGUAUGUAGACAUGUAAUUCUCUCAUUGAAACCUGUUAUGAGUAGUGAUCUGUAUAUUUCCAAUAAAUUAAUUUGGAGUGAAA